rnacentral:rRNA from 1 species
GACGAACGCUGGCGGCGUGCUUAACACAUGCAAGUCGAACGGAAAGGCCCUGCUUUUGUGGGGUGCUCGAGUGGCGAACGGGUGAGUAACACGUGAGUAACCUGCCCUUGACUUUGGGAUAACUUCAGGAAACUGGGGCUAAUACCGGAUAGGAGCUCCUGCUGCAUGGUGGGGGUUGGAAAGUUUCGGCGGUUGGGGAUGGACUCGCGGCUUAUCAGCUUGUUGGUGGGGUAGUGGCUUACCAAGGCUUUGACGGGUAGCCGGCCUGAGAGGGUGACCGGCUACAUUGGGACUGAGAUACGGCCCAGACUCCUACGGGAGGCAGCAGUGGGGAAUAUUGCACAAUGGGCGGAAGCCUGAUGCAGCAACGCCGCGUGCGGGAUGACGGCCUUCGGGUUGUAAACCGCUUUCGCCUGUGACGAAGCGUGAGUGACGGUAAUGGGUAAAGAAGCACCGGCUAACUACGUGCCAGCAGCCGCGGUGAUACGUAGGGUGCGAGCGUUGUCCGGAUUUAUUGGGCGUAAAGGGCUCGUAGGUGGUUGAUCGCGUCGGAAGUGUAAUCUUGGGGCUUAACCCUGAGCGUGCUUUCGAUACGGGUUGACUUGAGGAAGGUAGGGGAGAAUGGAAUUCCUGGUGGAGCGGUGGAAUGCGCAGAUAUCAGGAGGAACACCAGUGGCGAAGGCGGUUCUCUGGGCCUUUCCUGACGCUGAGGAGCGAAAGCGUGGGGAGCGAACAGGCUUAGAUACCCUGGUAGUCCACGCUGUAAACGGUGGGUACUAGGUGUGGGGUCCAUUCCACGGGUUCCGUGCCGUAGCUAACGCUUUAAGUACCCCGCCUGGGGAGUACGGCCGCAAGGCUAAAACUCAAAGGAAUUGACGGGGCCCCGCACAAGCGGCGGAGCAUGCGGAUUAAUUCGAUGCAACGCGUAGAACCUUACCUGGGUUUGACAUGGAUCGGGAGUGCUCAGAGAUGGGUGUGCCUCUUUUGGGGUCGGUUCACAGGUGGUGCAUGGUUGUCGUCAGCUCGUGUCGUGAGAUGUUGGGUUAAGUCCCGCAACGAGCGCAACCCUUGUUCACUGUUGCCAGCACGUUAUGGUGGGGACUCAGUGGAGACCGCCGGGGUCAACUCGGAGGAAGGUGGGGAUGACGUCAAGUCAUCAUGCCCCUUAUGUCCAGGGCUUCACGCAUGCUACAAUGGCUGGUACAGAGAGUGGCGAGCCUGUGAGGGUGAGCGAAUCUCGGAAAGCCGGUCUCAGUUCGGAUUGGGGUCUGCAACUCGACCUCAUGAAGUCGGAGUCGCUAGUAAUCGCAGAUCAGCAACGCUGCGGUGAAUACGUUCCCGGG